AAAUGUGAGGGCGAUCUGGCUGCAACAUCUGUCACCCCAUUGAUCCCCAGGGUUGAUUUGGCUGAUCUGGCUGGUUAGGUGGGUGUUCUCUUCCUCCCUCACCGCUCCGUGUGCGUCCCUCCUGAAGCUGCGCGCUCAGUCGAAGAGGACAAUCAUCCCCGAUAGAGGAGGACCAUUCUUUGGGCAAGGGUAUACGAGUAGCUGCGCUCCUCUGCUAGAACCUCCAGACAGGUUCUCAAGGUCCAUUUGUAGGAGAACGUAGGGUAGUCAAGCUUCUAAGACUCCAGACACAUCCAAAUGAGGUGCUGCACGUGGUAGUCUGCCUUUCUUA
ensembl:misc_RNA 7SK 7SK RNA